GCCUGGCUAGCUCAGUUGGUAAAACAUGAGACUCGUAAUCUCAGGGUAGUGGGUUCGAGACCCACAUUGGGCA